UACGACCACAUCACGUUGCAACACCGGUUCCCGUACGAUUAUCGAAGUUAAGCAACCUCGAGACUAGUCACUAACUAGAUGGGUAACCGUUUGGUAAUACCAGGUGCUGUAAG